GAUGAACGCUGGCGGCGUGCCUAAUACAUGCAAGUCGAGCGAACAGACGAGGAGCUUGCUCCUCUGACGUUAGCGGCGGACGGGUGAGUAACACGUGGAUAACCUACCUAUAAGACUGGGAUAACUUCGGGAAACCGGAGCUAAUACCGGAUAAUAUAUUGAACCGCAUGGUUCAAUAGUGAAAGACGGUUUUGCUGUCACUUAUAGAUGGAUCCCGGCCGCAUUAGCUAGUUGGUAAGGUAACGGCUUACCAAGGCGACGAUGCGUAGCCGACCUGAGAGGGUGAUCGGCCACACGGGAGCUGAGCCACGGUCCAGACUCCUACGGGAGGCAGCAGUAGGGAAUCUUCCGCAGUGGGCGAAAGCCUGACGGAGCAACGCCGCGUGAGUGAUGAAGGUCUUCGGAUCGUAAUACUCUGUUAUUAGGGAAGAACAAAUGUGUAAGUAACUAUGCACGUCUUGACGGUACCGAAUCAGAAAGCCACGGCUAACUACGUG
rnacentral:rRNA from 1 species